AUUGAACGCUGGUGGCAGGCUUAACACAUGCAAGUCGAACGGUAACAGGAAUUAGCUUGCUAAUUUGCUGACGAGUGGCGGACGGGUGUGUAAUGCUUGGGAAUCUGGCUUAUGGAGGGGGAUAACUACGGGAAACUGUAGCUAAUACCGCGUAAAAUCUUCGGAUUAAAGGGUGGGACUUUCGAGCCACCUGCCAUAAGAUGAGCCCAAGUGGGAUUAGUUAGUUGGUUAGGUAAAGGCUAACCAAGCCGACGAACUCUAGCUGGUCUGAGAGGAUGACCAGCAAAACGGGAACUGGAACACGGUCCAGACUCCUACGGGAGGCAGCAGAGGGGAAUAUUGGACAAUGGGGGGAACCCUGAUGCAGAAAGGCCGCGUGAAGGAAGAAGGCCUUCGGGUUGUAAAGUUCGUUCGGUGACGAGGAAGGUGGAUAGGGUAAAAGCCUAUCAAAUUGACGUUAAUUACAGAAGAAGCACCGGCUAACUCCGUG
rnacentral:rRNA from 1 species